rnacentral:lncRNA from 1 species
AAAAAAGGAAAAAAAGGAAAAAAAAGAAAAAAGGAAAAAAAGGAAAAAAAAAAAAAAAAAAAAAAAAAAAAAAAAAAAAAAAAAAAAAAAAAAAAAAAAAAAAAAAAAAAAAAAAAAAAAAAAAAAAAAAAAAAAAAAAAAAAAAAAAAGAAAAAAAAAAAAAAAAAAAAAAAAAAAAAAAAAAAAAAAAAAAAAAAGAAAAAAAAAAGAAA